rnacentral:rRNA from 1 species
UACGUAUGGAGCAAGCGUUAUCCGGAUUUACUGGGUGUAAAGGGAGCGCAGGCGGCUUUGCAAGUCUGAUGUGAAAGGCCGGGGCUCAACCCCGGGACUGCAUUGGAAACUGUAAAGCUAGAGUGCCGGAGGGGUAAGCGGAAUUCCUAGUGUAGCGGUGAAAUGCGUAGAUAUCACGAAGAACUCCGAUUGCGAAGGCAGCUCACUGGACUGCAACUGACACUGAGGCUCGAAAGUGUGGGUAUCAAACAGG